GUCACCUGUCUCCAGCGCAUUAGCCACAGACUGCCAACUUUCCCACGCCGGCUAUUCCGAGAGAGAAAAAAAACCGGUCCCAUAAAACUCAGCACCCAAAAGCAACCAUCCGCGCACCGCGCUAUUCUUAACCUGCAGAUCUCUCAAGAAAGGAGCAUCGCUACAAUCCUCUAUAAUGCAAUGAAAAGAUAGCGCGUAGAGAACAUCCCCGAAGCGUCUUCGCGUUCGUACAAAAGAAGGACCUCAUGCGGGGGAUGACGCACCGAAGGAUCGAACCGAGACACAGCCGACCAUUGGUCCGUGAAGAUCAUGCUGCAAAUAAAAGGAAUCAGUGGGAAAGUUUUCCUACGAAACUGAUUCCCAAAGCGGAGUCGACGAAAAAAAGGGAUUUCGAUCACCCGUCCGCUUUAGAUCGUGCCCAUUUUUUCGAUGGCUUCCCUCGGCGCGGUCCGAUUGCAGUAGGGUUACCAAUUGGAGGAUCUCGAAAGUUAGUAAGCGUUUUUGAUGACCCUAAAACCUGCUUUCCACCACAUCCUUCCCGUUCGUCGCUCACUAGUGAGGAAGGUGUAAUUUUUAUGGAUGCACUC